rnacentral:rRNA from 1 species
AUUGAACGCUGGCGGCAUGCCUUACACAUGCAAGUCGAACGGUAACAGGUCUUCGGAUGCUGACGAGUGGCGAACGGGUGAGUAAUACAUCGGAACGUGCCCGAUCGUGGGGGAUAACGAAGCGAAAGCUUUGCUAAUACCGCAUAAGAUCUACGGAUGAAAGCAGGGGACCGCAAGGCCUUGCGCGAACGGAGCGGCCGAUGGCAGAUUAGGUAGUUGGUGGGAUAAAAGCUUACCAAGCCGACGAUCUGUAGCUGGUCUGAGAGGACGACCAGCCACACUGGGACUGAGACACGGCCCAGACUCCUACGGGAGGCAGCAGUGGGGAAUUUUGGACAAUGGGCGAAAGCCUGAUCCAGCCAUGCCGCGUGCAGGAUGAAGGCCUUCGGGUUGUAAACUGCUUUUGUACGGAACGAAAAGACUCUUUCUAAUAAAGAGGGUCCAUGACGGUACCGUAAGAAUAAGCACCGGCUAACUACGUGCCAGCAGCCGCCGUAAUAC